rnacentral:rRNA from 1 species
UACGGGGGGAGCAAGCGUUGUUCGGAUUUACUGGGCGUAAAGGGCGCGUAGGCGGUCAGCACAAGUCAGUUGUGAAAUCUCCGGGCUUAACUCGGAAAGGUCAACUGAUACUGUGCGACUAGAGUGCGGAAGGGGCAACUGGAAUUCUUGGUGUAGCGGUGAAAUGCGUAGAUAUCAAGAGGAACACCUGCGGCGAAGGCGGGUUGCUGGGCUGACACUGACGCUGAAGCGCGAAAGCCAGGGGAGCGAACGGG